UUAAACAUCCAUGGUGAAAAGGCAUAUAUUAAAACAUUGAUUUUGGGAUUUUAUUUUUCAAUAU